AAACGACUCUCGGCAACGGAUAUCUCGGCUCACGCAUCGAUGAAGAACGUAGCAAAAUGCGAUACUUGGUGUGAAUUGCAGAAUCCCGUGAACCAUCGAGUUUUUGAACGCAAGUUGCGCCCAAAGCCAUUCGGUCGAGGGCACGUCUGCCUGGGCGUCACGCA
rnacentral:rRNA from 1 species